AGAUUUGAUCCAAAUCCCACUGAAAUCAGUGGGAGUCCUUCCACUGACACCAAAGGGCUUUGGAUCAGACAUACU
rnacentral:pre_miRNA from 1 species